GAUUCCAUAGCUCAGUUGGGAGAGCGCUACCUUGACAGGGUAGAGGUCGUGGGUUCAAGCCCCUCUGGAAUCA
rnacentral:tRNA from 1 species